AGAGUUUGAUCCUGGCUCAGGAUGAACGCUGGCGGCAUGCCUAACACAUGCAAGUCGAUCGGUAAGGCUCUUCGGAGUACACGAGAGGCGGACGGCUGAGUAACGCGUAGGAACACACCCUGCAGUGAGGGAUAAGACACCGAAAGGUGUUCUAAUACCGCAUACGGUCUUCGGAUUAAAGCAUUUAUGCGCUGAAGGAGUGGCCUGCGUCAUAUUAGAUAGUUGGUGAGGUAAUGGCUUACCAAGUCGAUGAUGUGUAGCUGGUCUGAGAGGAUGAUCAGCCAGACUGGAACUGAGACACGGUCCAGACUCCUACGGGAGGCAGCAGUGAGGAAUAUUUCACAAUGAGCGAAAGCUUGAUGGAGCAAUGCCGCGUGCAGGAUGAAGGCCCUCGGGUUGUAAACUGCUUUUAUAAGAGAAGAUUAUGACGGUAACUUAUGAAUAAGGGACGGCUAACUACGUGCCAGCAGCCGCCGGUCAAUACGUAGGUCCCGGAGCGUUUUCCGGAGGUGACUGGGCGUAAAGAGUUGCGUAGGCGGUCAAGUUAGCGAGCGAUGAAAACUAUCGGCUCAACCCGAUAGCUUGUUGUUCGAACUGCUUGACUCGAGAGUAUCAGAGGUCGCUGGAAUUCCUAGUGUAGCAGUGAAAUGCGUAGAUAUUAGGAAGAACACCGAUGGCGUAGGCAGGCGACUGGGAUAUUUCUGACGCUAAGGCACGAAAGCGUGGGUAGCGAACCGGAUUAGAUACCCGGGUAGUCCACGCCGUAAACGAUGGAUGCUAAUUGUUUGAGGUAUCGACCCCUCGAGUAAUAAAGCUAACGCGUUAAGCAUCCCGCCUGUGGAGUACGGCCGCAAGGCUAAAACAUAAAGGAAUUGACGGGGACCCGCACAAGCGGUGGAGGAUGUUCUUUAAUUCGAUGAUAAACGAAGAACCUUACCAGGGUUUGACAUCCCGAGAAGAUUUACGAAAGUAAAUUGUGCCUCUUGGAACUCGGUGACAGAUGAUGCAUGGCCGUCGUCAGCUCGUGUCGUGAGAUGUUUGGUUAAGUCCAUCAACGAGCGCAACCCUUGUGAAUAGUUGAAUUUUUCUAUUCAGACUGCCCCGGCAACGGGGAGGAAGGAGGGGAUGAUGUCAGGUCAGUAUUUCUCUUACAUCCUGGGCUAGAAACGUGAUACAAUGGCAAGUACAAUGCGCAGCGAAGCCGCGAGGUGAAGCAAAUCGCACCAAAGCUUGUCCCAGUUCGGAUUGGAGGCUGAAACUCGCCUCCAUGAAGUCGGAAUCGCUAGUAAUCGCAGGUCAGCAAACUGCGGUGAAUACGUUCCCGGGUCUUGUACACACCGCCCGUCAAGCCAUGAAAGUGACCAACACCCGAAGUCCGAUUCGUCGGCCUAAGGUGGGGGGCAUGAUUGGGGUUAAGUCGUAACAAGGUAACC
rnacentral:rRNA from 1 species